rnacentral:rRNA from 1 species
AUGAAAGUUGACUUACAACAAUGGCUUUAGUGGCGGACUGGUGAGUAACACGUAAGCAACCUGCCUAUCAGAGGGGAACAACAGUUAGAAAUGACUGCUAAUACCGCAUAUGCCUUAGCAACACAUGUUGCAAAAGGGAAAGGAGCAAUCCGCUGAUAGAUGGGCUUGCGUCUGAUUAGAUAGUUGGUGGGGUAACGGCCUACCAAGUCGACGAUCAGUAGCCGGACUGAGAGGUUGAACGGCCACAUUGGGACUGAGAUACGGCCCAGACUCCUACGGGAGGCAGCAGUCGGGAAUAUUGCGCAAUGGAGGAAACUCUGACGCAGUGACGCCGCGUGCAGGAAGAAGGUUUUCGGAUUGUAAACUGCUUUA